rnacentral:rRNA from 1 species
UACAAGGAUUCCCCUAGUAACGGCGAGUGAAGCGGGAAGAGCUCAAAUUUAAAAUCUGGUUUGCUUGCAAAUCCGAGUUGUAGUCUGAAGAAACGUUUUCCAUGAAAGCUGAGGCACAAGUCCUUUGGAACAGGGCAUCAUAGAGGGUGAGAAUCCCGUCCAUGGUCUCAAGCCUUUCAUUUUGUGAUACGUUUUCUAAGAGUCAGGUUGUUUGGGAAUGCAGCCUAAAAUGGGUGGUAAAUUUCAUCUAAAGCUAAAUAUUGGCGAGAGACCGAUAGCGAACAAGUACCGUGAGGGAAAGAUGAAAAGAACUUUGAAAAGAGAGUUAAAAAGUACGUGAAAUUGUUGAAAGGGAACCGUUUGAAGCCAGUCUUGCUUGCUUGUGAUCAGUCUUUGCUUCGGCUUGGAUGCACUCUCAGGUUAUGCAGGUCAACGUCAGUUUGAGAGGUGGGAAAAAAGCUUGAGGAAUGUGGCCUUCGGGUGUUAUAGCCUCUUGCUAAAUACCAUCUUUUGGACUGAGGCUCGCAGCAAAAAUGUGGGCAGGUUUGCGUUUGAGGUGAUACAUUAUUAAGACAGCUUGCUGACUUAGUUUUGUCUAUCUUCACUGCAAGCUUCGCUUCUAAUUUGCUUAGGUCGUGACAUAAUGGCUUUAAAUGACCCCGUCUUG